rnacentral:rRNA from 1 species
GAUGAACGCUGGCGGCGUGCCUAAUACAUGCAAGUCGAGCGAACGGACGGGAAGCUUGCUUCUCUGAUGUUAGCGGCGGACGGGUGAGUAACACGUGGAUAACCUACCUAUAAGACUGGGAUAACUUCGGGAAACCUGAGCUAAUACCGGAUAAUAUUUUGAACCGCAUGGUUCAAAAGUGAAAGACGGUCUUGCUGUCACUUAUAGAUGGAUCCGCGCUGCAUUAGCUAGUUGGUAAGGUAACGGCUUACCAAGGCAACGAUGCAUAGCCGACCUGAGAGGGUGAUCGGCCACACUGGAACUGAGACACGGUCCAGACUCCUACGGGAGGCAGCAGUAGGGAAUCUUCCGCAAUGGGCGAAAGCCUGACGGAGCAACGCCGCGUGAGUGAUGAAGGUCUUCGGAUCGUAAAACUCUGUUAUUAGGGAAGAACAUAUGUGUAAGUAACUGUGCACAUCUUGACGGUACCUAAUCAGAAAGCCACGGCUAACUACGUG